rnacentral:rRNA from 1 species
UACGUAGGGGGCAAGCGUUGUCCGGAUUUAUUGGGCGUAAAGAGCGUGUAGGCGGCUGGGUAGGUCCGUUGUGAAAACUCGAGGCUCAACCUCGAGACGCCGAUGGAAACCCUCCAGCUAGAGUCCGGAAGAGGAGAGUGGAAUUCCUGGUGUAGCGGUGAAAUGCGCAGAUAUCAGGAGGAACACCGGUGGCGAAGGCGGUUCUCUGGGCAUGUCCUGACGCUGAGGAGCGAAAGCGUGGGGAGCGAACAGG